CCUUUUCUUUUCCCUCUCUCCUCCUCCUCCUCCUUCUCUGGGAGGGUUCUCGCCGGAGACUCGGGAGUUCUCGCCGGAGGUCUGCUCUUCCCUUUCUUUCGAUCUUGCGACAGUUAGGUAUGUGAAUGCCCUUGAAACCCCGUCUGAUUUUGGUGAGGUUCUUCAUUUCUCUGGAAUCUUCUCCAUCUCCUCCUCAGAUGCAACCUAGAAACCUCUUUGAUCGUUGUGAAGUUCCCCUCUUCUUUCCACUCCUCUCAGUCUUCUCCUCAGGGUACGGCGAGGUUUCCUUUGUUUCUUAGCCCCUCUCUUUCCAUCUUGCGAGGGUGAGGUAUGUGAAUGCCCUAGGGUUUUGUCUAUAAUUUUAAUUUUUUUCACAAGCGUACCCUUGAUCUCUCCAAUCGCUGUGAAGUUUUCCUUUUUCUCUCAACCCCUAUCCAUCUCCUUCACCUGCGGCGAGGUUUGCUAGUUCUUACCCUUUUCAUUUAAAUUUGCUAGCCCUCGGUCACUGUCACAUGCAUACUUGAGAACACAUACACAUUAGAGUCAAUGAGGAUAUGCUAAGCACUAGUGCAUGUAAUUUUUGUGUUUUUGGAGGUGAUUGAUGCUUUACUGACCACACCUCUUGACCAAGUUGAUCUCUCUGUCAUGUAAAUGGCCCAACAGCUUGGAUGGCCAGCCACUGAGCUGGCAACCGCUGCGACCUUUAUGUAGCUGAGAGCAAAUGCAUUGGUUGAGCUACGGUGAUUUGUUGGAGUCUGGUGGUGACAUGCAUACUUGAGAACACACACACACGCACACAUUAGAGGCGAUGAGGAUAUGUUGAGCACCUGUGCAUGUAAUUUUGUGUGUUUGGAGGUUAUUGAUGCUUUACUGACCGCACCUCUUGACCAAGUUGAUCUCUCUGUUAUGUAAAUGGCCCAACAGUUUGGAUGGCCAGCUACCUAGCUGGCAACCGCUGCUUUUCAUUUAUGUACCUGAGAGCCAAUGCAUUGGUUGAGCUAUGGUGAUUGGUUGGAAUCUGGUGACAUGCAUACUUGAGAACACACACACACACACAUUAGAGGUGAUGAGGAUAUGCUGAGCACCCGUGCAUGUAAUUUUGUGUGUUUGGAGGUGAUUGAUGCUUUACCGACUGCACCUCUUGACCAAGUUGAUCUCUCUGUUAUGUAAAUGGCCCAACAGCUUGGAUGGCCAGCUACUACCUAGCUGGCAACCACUGCGACCUUUACGUACCUGAGAGCCAAUGCAUUGGUUGACCUAUGGUGAUCGGUUGGAAUCAGAUGACUCGAAGAAGGUGAAUUUGAGCCUUAUUAUAUUUUUCUUGCAAGUAUUUUACUACUAUUCUUCCAAAAGAGUCACUGGUUUUCUUGUUUUUUUUUUCAAAAUAUGCACAAGAUUUAAUAGUGGACUGUGUUUGGCUCAUUGCCUUUCUUCUUCUUCUUCUUUUUUUUUUUUGGGAACUUGUUUGUGCGGUUUUUUUUAUACUUUUUACUGUUGGUGAAUUUUUUUUUUCAGUAUUACUUGCUGCCCCUGGUAAUUAUGAAUGUUUAGCCAUAUGGCAAAUGAAUGUAUUAAUAAGCUAUGAUAUUAUGUUUUAACCGUACACAAUGUGUUGUGCAGAUUACUAAAAAGUUUGGAUAAGAUACCUUGAGUUAUAGAUUCAUAUUCGUAUUCAAUGACUUGGCCGAUUUGGGCCUAUUAGUCACUCUAUUAAUUGAGGUCAUGAUCAACUUCAAACUUUGCGUGUAUAUCUAGUUUGAAGUGAUCAAGUUGGCCCCCAUCAAUGGCUUUGUUUGUUAGUUUGAUGCUCUAAUUUUCUCUGUGAUUCAUUAGCUGGUUCAGAUAUUCUUCGUAAAGUGAUGGAAAUGAUGAAGCAGUUUGGAUGGCCAGCUGCUGAUCUGCAGUCUGCUGCAACCACUGCAUCAUUACAUUACCGCAGAUGUGUCGGUUGGUUAUUCUGGCUGGAUAAAUUUGUGCUUGGAAGAGGCAUGUUGGUUAAGGAGGCCUAAAGUAUGAUGCCGUCCUUCUUUUGAAAUAGUUGCGUACUGCCGGUUAGUUUGUGCUUGCUAAAAAAAUUUGGCUAUGAAGUGUGGGACAAAACAGUUUUGUCUUUCCUUGUGGGUUAGAACUUUGUCCUCGUGCCGGCGAAUGAUGAUAUGAAUCACCUUGUGAUCUUUGUGUGGUUGAAGGUGCAACCGCUAGCCAUGUAUACAUCAUCUCUGUGUGUGAUGGUAAUGGCAAGAUUGACAUGUCUUAUCACUUGGUUAUUGGUGCGGGGACUUCUUACAGUCUUAUUGCUUGGUGAUUGAUGCUUUGCUGACCGCACGUCAUGACCAAGUUGAUCUUUCUGUUAUGUAAAUUGCCCAACAGCCAGGAUGGCUAGCUACCUAGCUGGCAACCGCUGCGACCAUUACGUACCUGAGAGCCAAUGCAUUGGUUGAGCUAUGGUGAUUGGUUGGAAUCAGGUGACAUGCUUGCUUGAGAACUCACACACACAUGGCGAUGAGGAUAUGCUGAGCACCAGUGCAUGUAAUUUUUGUUUGUUUGGAGGUUAUUGAUGCUUCACUGACUGCAACUCUUGACCAAGUUGAUCUCUCUGUUAUGUAAAUGGCCCAACAGCUUGGAUGGCCAGCUACCUAGCUGGCAACCGCUGCGACCUACCUGAGAGCCAAUGCGUUGGUUGAACUAUGGUGAUCGGUUGGAACCAGGUGCGUGCAUACUUGAGAGCACACACACAUUAGAGGCAAUGAGGAUGUGCUGAGCACAAGUGCAUGUAAAUUUGUGUUUUUGGAGGUGAUUGAUGCUUUACUGACCGCACCUCUUGACCAAGUUUAUCUCUCUGUUAUGUGGAUGGCCCAACAGCUUGGAUGGCCAGCUACCUAGCUGGCAACCGCUGUGACCUUUAUGUACCUGAGAUCAAAUUCAUUGGUUGAGCUAUGGUGAUUGGUUGGAAUCUGGUGACAUGCAUACUUGAGAACACACACACACAUUAGAGGCGAUGAGGAUAUGCCGAGCACCCGUGCAUGUAAUUUUGUGUGUUUAGAGGUGAUUGAUGCUUUACUGACCGCACCUCUUGACCAAGUUGAUCUCUCUGUUUUGUAAAUAACCCAAUAGCUUGGAUGACCAGCUACCUAGCUGGCAACCGCUGCGACUUUAAUGUACCUCAUAGCCAAUGCAUUGGUUGAGCUAUGGUGAUUGGUUUGGAAUCUGGUGGCAUGCAUACUUGAGAACACACACACACACAUUAGAGGUGAUGAGGAUAUGCUGAGCACCCGUGCAUGUAAUUUUGUGUGUUUGGAGGUGAUUGAUGCUUUCCUGACCGCACCUCUUGACCAAGUUGAUCUCUCUGUUAUAUGAUUGGCCCAACAGCUUGGAUGGCCAGCUACCUAGCUGGCAACCUCUGCGACCUUUACGUACCUGAGAGCCAAUGCAUUGGUUGACCUAUGGUGAUCGGUUGGAAUCAGAUGACUCGCAGAAGCUGGUUCAGAUAUUCUCGUAAAAUGAUGGAAAUGGUGAAGCAGUUUGGAUGGCCAGCUGCUAAUCUGCAGUUGGCUGCAACCACUGCAUCAUUACAUUACCGCAGAUGUAUCGGUUGGUUAUUCUGGCUGGAUAACUUUGUGCUUGGAAGAGGCAUGUUGGUUAAGGAGGCCUAAAGUAUGAUGCCGUCCUUCUGAAAUAGUUGCGUACUGCCGGUUAGUUUGUGCUUGCUAAAAAAAUUUGGCUAUGAAGUGUGCGACAAAACAGUUUUGUCUUUCCAUGUGGGCUAGAACUUUGUCCUUGUGCCGGCGAAUGAUGAUAUGAAUCACCUUGUGAUCUUUGUGUGGUUGAAGGUGCAACCGCUAGCCAUGUAUACAUCAUCUCUGUGUGUGAUGGUAAUGGCAAGCUUGCCAUGUCUUAUCACUUGGUUAUUGGUGAGGGGACUUCUUAAUGUCUUAUCGCUUGGUGAUUGAUGCUUUACUGACCACACCUCUUGACCAAAUUGAUCUUUCUGUUAUGUAAAUGGCCCCCAACAGCUUGGAUGGCCAGCUACCUAGCUGGCAACCGC